rnacentral:sRNA from 1 species
UCAUUUGAUCAAAUAAAAUUAUAUUGGGUUGCUUUAAUUUUCAGCCCUAUACUAGUUGAAAUCUCAACAUUCCACCCUAAACUUUUAGGCACUUGAAAAACCACCAUAAAUAAUUUUAAUCUCGAUAAAACUACAUGUACUUUCGGAUUUGUUCUUAAAACUACGCCUCCAAUUGAACCGACCAGUUAACCGAUAAUUAUACAUCCGGUUUGACUUACCCAUAAUUUAACCGAAACUAAUCCGAUUUUGACUCUAUUUUAGCCUAAUUUUGACCCACACAAAAUGUAAAUAAAUUGUCUUAUUAAGAAGUAAAAGU